GCUUGGGAAGUUAGAUGGAGUUUGUUGGCUGUGCUGUGAGGAAGAAGGAGUUAGUGCUGUGAGGAGCUGCCCAUAAGAAAUCACAGAGAACAUAUGGAGCUUUUGCAAAAAGAUGACAACAAAUCCCCUCCUGCACCCAGCCAAUGACACCAGGACAUGGUUGGCCCCUGCUACCAGGACUACUGCUGACUUGUAUUCAACAUUCCUCGGUCUGCAAAUACUUUCAGGAUAACCCCAUCCCAGAGUGGCUGCCCAGGAAAUUACUGCUCCAGAGCCAUUUCAUGUGGCAAACUAAACAAAAGAAAAAGAAUUUCAAAGUUUUUCCCAGACAAAGGUACUGCAACACUUCAGAUGCCCUCAGGGAUCUCCAGCUCUAAUUAUUUACGUGAGCGAGAUUUUAAGAUCCUAAGAAAGACUUUACAUCUCUAAGGAAAGUAUAUUGUAAAGGUUUUAAAUGCAAUGCUGAGCGACUUCAAAAGAAUUCCCACUGAGUGAGACUUGUCUCAGUCAAACUAAAGUGGAAAAAGCUGGAAUUUUAACUCUGGGUGCUCUUGCUUUUGCCUAUUUUUGCCUGGAUCUUUAAUUUUACUUGUAUCCCAUUAUUUAGUAUUUUAUUUAGACUCCAAGUAAUGAAAAGCAUUUGGACCUGAAAUCUCAUCAACAUAUACAAUAAGAUGCUAUUAAAUUCUGAAUAUUUCAAAUAUCAAAUAGUUUAGGAGACUUAUAUGCUUUUAAAUAUAUAAAUGUGAAUAGGUAAAAGUAUAUUUUUGAAGUUUAAGGCAAACUGUCACACAACUGAAUUAUUUUCCAUGUCUAACUCUUAAUCUGCCUGUUCCUUUUUACAAAAGAUUUCAUUUUGGCUAUUUUAUAGAUAUAAACAUAUAGUUCUGAAAAUUGUUUGAGAAGCUAAUUUGUUUAUCAAGCUCUUUUGGGGUGGGAUAACCAGGUUAACUGUUUGCAAUUUGACUAAAGUAUAUUUUAAAAGAGAACUCUAAAUAAAAUGUGAACAAAUUGCAUCUACGGUAAAAUUAUUAAAAUCACUUAAAUCAUGGGAAUAAUGACUACAUGUGUGAAUUCAACUUAACCAAGUAUACUUGUUCUAAUUCGAAUUUGGUUGGAAAGAAAAAUGGAGUUCCUCAGUGGAAAAAAAAAAGUCAAAACCUGAACUUAAUAUGCUGGUAACACUAUACCCAGAUUAGAUGUAUUUUUAAAACGUUGAGAAAAGAAAUAAAGCUGAUCAAAUACUUUUUAAAAUAAAAAAUUGCCAGGGUCCAACACCAAAAUGUUUUUCUCAAUAGCUUAUUCUAGACCUAUCUUCCCAGACGUGAACCUUUAAUUGCAAAAAACCCACCAAAAAGUCCCCAACCAACCAAGUAACCAACCAACCACACACACCAAACCAAAAAAAAAAAAACCAACCAAAAUUAAAAAAAAAAUAAAACCACCAAAAACCAAACACACCAACCAAACCAAAAAAGAGAGGACCAAAAAACAGACCAAAACCAACAAAAUACAAAGCAAUGGAAAACACUCUUUUCAAGGCCAUGUAAACAUAUCUUUGAUAUCAACUGUCUUAAUGAAAUUGCAGAUUCUAGGUCUGCAGACAAAAUAUGUAUCUCAGAGUCACUGAGAUAAGUAUCUAUAGACAUUAAAAGUGAAGAAUAGCUGUUCAAAAACAGGAAAUCCCCACUUAUAUUGAAGCAAUACAUGAAUGUAUAAAAAUACUGUUAGCACUUUUUGAGUCCAUAAAAGAUUACAGUGCUCCCUCUGUAAUGUCAUUCUGGGAAGUUCGUAGAUAAAUGUGGGAGAGAACUUGAUGAUUAAAUUAGUACUGAGAGGUAUAACAACAUGAGUAGGUCUGCUGUGGUGUGUUGUGUAAGAAAUACAUAGGUACUUUACUCAUCUUAAAGUGACAUGCAUUAUUAAUUCUUAUUCUCCACACAGUUUAUAAAGGUGAUUUAACAAUCUUCCUGUGCUAUGCAUCAUAAUUUUUACUUUACCAAAUAACUCUAUUAAAUAUAUCAGGGGCAAAACAGUAAAUAUUUAUGUAUGGUCUGAUUGUGUCUGCCAAAUACUAUUCCAGAAAGUUUCAGUGUAACUGACCAGACUGAGAUUCCCUGCAAUGAGUAUGUUAUUGGAUAGUCAGAAAAAAACUUUCAAACUUUCCACCUAUUUUUACAUAAUUUUCCUCUGUUAAUUUGUUAGGGGUCAUAUUUUUAAAAGUAUUUUUACAUUCCCUUACUUUAGG